UACGGGGGGGGCAAGCGUUGUUCGGAAUUACUGGGCGUAAAGGGCUCGUAGGUGGCCAACUAAGUCAGACGUGAAAUCCCUCGGCUUAACCGGGGAACUGCGUCUGAUACUGGAUGGCUUGAGUUCGGGAGAGGGAUGCGGAAUUCCAGGUGUAGCGGUGAAAUGCGUAGAUAUCUGGAGGAACACCGGUGGCGAAGGCGGCAUCCUGGACCGACACUGACACUGGGGAGCGAAAGCCAGGGGAGCAAACGGG
rnacentral:rRNA from 1 species